UACAGAGGUCCCAAGCGUUGUUCGGAUUCAUUGGGCGUAAAGGGUGCGUAGGCGGCGCGGUAAGUCGAGUGUGAAAUCUCGGGGCUUAACUCCGAAACUGCAUUCGAUACUGCCGUGCUUGAGGACUGGAGAGGAGACUGGAAUUUACGGUGUAGCGGUGAAAUGCGUAGAUAUCGUGAGGAAGACCAGUUGCGAAGGCGGAUCUCUGGGCAGUUCCUGACACUGAGGCACGAAGGCCAGGGGAGCAAACGGG
rnacentral:rRNA from 1 species